GAAUGAUUUGUCUGGUUAAUUCCGAUAACGAACGUGACUCAAUCAUAUUAAAUAGAUACCUAUCAGCAGUUGAGAUGCCGAUGCUGUAGUAUUGGUUUCGGCUGGUGCUGCAGUGGAGUCUCACCUGAUAGUUUGUCAUUCAUCAUUUUAUGGUGUUUGACUUGAAUCUGCUUAAUAGGACAAUUUGUGUUUAGCAAAAUGAGAUUGAGCAAUAACAGGUCCGUGAUGCCCUUAGAUGUCCUGGGCUGCACGCGCGCUACAAUGAAGACAUCAACGUGUAUCCUAUACCGAAAGGUACGGGAAAUCACUAAAACGUCUUCUUAGUUGGGAUUAUGGACUGAAACUGUUCAUAUGAACCUGGAAUUCCCAGUAAAUG
rnacentral:rRNA from 2 species